rnacentral:rRNA from 1 species
AUGGUAGCUGAGAAGUGGGCGGAAGCGGACUCAGGAGAGGUAGGGAUCACAACAACAUGUGGAAAGCUGGGAAAACUUACGGUGAGUAUGCAAGAGUGGGGGCGUGUUGUGUUUGUGAAGGUACAACUAAAUGAUGCAAAGUUCAGGGCUCUGCGGACCGGUUACACUACAGAGGUGAGGGACAUAGAAGAACAACUACGGGAGGUCUACGCCCGUGAGGAGGUGAUGCAAAGGUCGAGAGUCGACUGGCUAGCGGCGGGGGACAUGAAUACGAAACACUUCCAAGGAAGAGAUGUUGGGAAACGUAGCAUGCAAUUUCAAAAAAUUUCUUACGCUCACACAAGAUCUAUCUAG